rnacentral:lncRNA from 1 species
UUUAAAGUAAUUAGUUAGAAAUGAACGAGUGACCUUUACCCUCACCAUGAAGGUUUUUUAAGAGGGGUGGAACGUAGCAAGCUAGGGUUCUAGCAUGGAAAUGGGUCUGCAAAACAAAAUUGAAAGAGGAAUUGGGAAAGAAGGCUGUUGAUCGGGUUGAGGCUGAGAGGGGUGUUAAUUCAGAGUUUCUCUAAGGGACGGCUAGGAUUGCUUUACAUGGCAGAUGGAUGGCUCACAAUGAAAGGCCGAGUCAAGCUAGCCAAAAUCUUAGCAGA